AGGCAGCAGUGGGGAAUAUUGCACAAUGGGGGAAACCCUGAUGCAGCCAUGCCGCGUGUGUGAAGAAGGCCUUCGGGUUGUAAAGCACUUUCAGUAGGGAGGAAGGGUUGAUGUCUAAUACGCAUCAGCAUUGACGUUACCUACAGAAGAAGCACCGGCUAACUCCGUGCCAGCAGCCGCGGUAAUACGGAGGGUGCAAGCGUUAAUCGGAAUAACUGGGCGUAAAGCGCACGCAGGCGGUUGGAUAAGUCAGAUGUGAAAUCCCCCGGGCUCAACCUGGGAACUGCAUUUGAAACUGUCUGACUAGAGUCUUGUAGAGGGGGGUAGAAUUCCCAGGUGUAGCGGUGAAAUGCGUAGAGAUCUGGAGGAAUACCGGUGGCGAAGGCAGCCCCCUGGACAAAGACUGACGCUCAGGUGCGAAAGCGUGGGGAGCAAACAGGAUUAGAUACCCCUGGUAGUCCACNCUGUAAACGAUGUCGAUUUGGAGUUUGUGCCAUUAUGAGCGUGGGUUCCGAAGCUAACGCGAUAAAUCGACCGCCUGGGGAGUACGGCCGCAAGGUUAAAACUCAAAUGAAUUGACGGGGGC
rnacentral:rRNA from 1 species